rnacentral:siRNA from 1 species
CCUACAUCAGUCUCCUCCACCUCU